GCAUGGAUGAAUUCUGCAUUACCUUGUGGUAGAUUUUGCAGUCAGACACCAUGCUAAAGUAAAAGACAUGCGUGCUUUGAUAGUUGACGUUCCAUUGUUGGCAGCGUACUAGCACAAUU